AUAAUAAUAAUACAAUAGAGAGAGAAAGAGAGGAAACACUAUGCCAUGAAUGUUUAUCAUCUUUCGUGGGCAUGCUUUUCUACAUACUUCAAAUACCUUCAACAGGGAUCACCAAAAAAUGUCAUAUCUACCUAUAAUAAUUGGGGAAGAAAGUUAAUUGCCUAAGAAAAUAGCAAUUAAGCACAUUAGUACUUUGCAACACAAGUUUUUAAAUUGUGUUCUUGUAAGCUGCUGCAUGAGCCUGCUUACAGAAUUACUAACUUAUUCUGCUGGUUUUCUGUAUGAGUCAAUUUCAGAGGAACCUUAGAAACGAGUAUAUUUUGAACCUUAAAUUUUAAGUCUUUUUUAUGUAGCAAACUAUAUAAUGUCAUAAAUUAAGAAAAGUCUGUUAUCUUUUAACAAAAGAUAUAAUUUCAAAAUCAGGUUUUGUCGUAUGUUAAAAAAUAAUUCCUUUGAGGUUAAUCCUUGAGCUUACAUGUAUUUUAUCUGCUCGAAAGUAAUAACAGGCUGAGUUCCAUGUUCUUAUUUCAGGGUUCUGGAUUGUCCCAACUGUCUACACAUCUGCCUGUCUGAAUCCUAAUCCUGUGUAUUUUCCAAAUAGGCAAAACUCAAGACAUCAUCAACUACUGUCAUUCAUAAAACUCCUGAGAAAUCACCUGGAAAUAUUGAGAAAGGAUAAUGUGGAGAAAAAUGCCAUCAAGGCCAAAUUUAGAUGGAUGGAAACAAUGUUUUAAAAUAUAAGUGGAUUAAAAUAUAACCAUGAAUUUUUA